UUUGGCUCAGUGGUAGAGUGCUUGCUUUGCAUGCAUGAAGCCCUGGGUUCGAUUCCUCAGAA
rnacentral:tRNA from 1 species